UACAGAGGUCCCAAGCGUUGUUCGGAAUUACUGGGCGUAAAGGGCGCGUAGGCGGCCUUCUAAGUCGAACGUGAAAUCCCCGGGCUCAACCCGGGAACUGCGUCCGAUACUGGAAGGCUUGAAUCCGGGAGAGGGAUGCGGAAUUCCAGGUGUAGCGGUGAAAUGCGUAGAUAUCUGGAGGAACACCGGUGGCGAAGGCGGCAUCCUGGACCGGUAUUGACGCUGAGGCGCGAAAGCCAGGGGAGCAAACGGG
rnacentral:rRNA from 1 species